rnacentral:rRNA from 1 species
GAGUUUGAUCCUGGCUCAGGACGAACGCUGGCGGCAUGCCUAAUACAUGCAAGUCGAGCGGAGUUGAUGGAGUGCUUGCACUCUUAAUACUCAGCGGCGGACGGGUGAGUAACACGUAGGUAACCUGCCUGUAAGACUGGGAUAACUACCGGAAACGGUAGCUAAUACCGGAUAAUACAUUUCCCCUCAUGAGGAGAUGUUGAAAGGCGGAGCAAUCUGUCACUUAUAGAUGGGCCUGCGGCGCAUUAGCUAGUUGGUGAGGUAACGGCUCACCAAGGCGACGAUGCGUAGCCGACCUGAGAGGGUGAACGGCCACACUGGGACUGAGACACGGCCCAGGACUCCUACGGGAGGCAGCAGUAGGGAAUCUUCCGCAAUGGACGCAAGUCUGACGGAGCAAUGCCGCGUGAGUGAUGAAGGUUUCGGAUCGUAAAGCUCUGUUGCCAGGAAGAAGAUUCAGGAGAGUAACUGCUCCUGGAGUGACGGUACCUGAGAAGAAA